GCGAGUCUGUUCAGUACCAGUUCUCUGACAAGUAUCUAUAAAUCUUUGUUACAAUCACUUGCCUGAUUUGUGACAUCCCCAAAAUCUCGGCCAGAAAAGACCGUUUUUCAUUUAUGCUUUAAAAAUAUUUUCAGAGUAAAUCCUUUUGAUUUGAAAGAGUUGCGGAAUUUGUUCCCAAAAACAAAACAUGAUAAAACAAUGUUUACCAAAGCAUUUCAUAAAAGAAAUGUAUUUUUCAUUAUAUAAUCAAAACUCGGGGUGUCAUGUUCCGAUACAGACCAAUAAGCAUAAACGAUAACAUUACAAGUCAUUCAAAAAAUAUAUACAUAUAUAGACUUGUAAACAAAACAACUGAUGGUUCAUCCAUCUCAUGCCCUCGCGCCACUUCCUGUAAUACAAAUAAAACUGAGUGGGUCAGGCUUGGGAGCCUGGUGAGCAUAUAGGGUUUUCAACCCACAAUAAAUAAUCAUAUUUAAUUUUCACCAACCAACAAUAACCCAAUUACCCAUUCCCGUUAUUCUCACUUUAUGUCCCUAAAACAACUAACAUAAGGGACCUAGUCUAAGAAUAUUUCAUCGGGGCGACAACACAUGCUUCGGGGGUACCUCAGCAAUAUAAGUCAAAUAAGGCAACCAUGAGGGGGAUGGAGUACAGCGAAUGAACACCCAAGUUCAUUAACACCUACAGGUGGCGAACCUGCUAAUGUUUCCACAAGACUGUCUAGAAUAGCCAGUGGUCGUCAUCUAAACUCCGCUAGAUGACUAAAUCAAACAACAACGAGGCCUCUCAUCUGUUUAUUACACACCAACUAUCUACCCAUGUUCUACCCAACAUAUUAGUAGAUAAAAAUAUACAUUUUAUACAUAGAUAAAAACCUGUAUAGCAUGCUUUAAUCAACACAUAUUUCACAUAACAGAUGAGGCACACACACACAUAACACAUAUCUCAUAGAGAAUAAAUCAUAUCUAUGAGAUAAAACAGAGUGAAUACACAUUCACACAUAUAAACAACAAUAUACUAUACACAUAGCACGUAUUUUAUAGAAAAUACUUAAUAUUUAUGUGUUAGAAGAAGGUAACUACACACUUACACUUAUAAACAACAAUAUACUUAAUACACUCGAACCAAACUUUUAUUAUUAUCGUGUUUAUGAAAGGUAGUAUACACUCACUUGAUCAGAAGAUGAUCGGACAGCACUACGACUUGCAGAAAUAGUAAUCGUCAGCAGAUCUGAAAGAUCUUCACAAAAAUUGAACUUCUCAUGGGCAGAGCUUCGGCCGGGAACCGUACUUCUCGGGAUCUUCGGGAUCUCGGGACUUGCCUCGGGGCUUGAGUAUGAUACCGGGGCUUCGGGAUAUUUCUGGCACGCAAAACGAUGCAAAACGGGAGAGAGAAGAGAGGAAAUUGGCAAAAGACUCGGCUGCCUUCGGUUCCUAUUUAUAGGAGGCUGGAGCCUCGGAGUACGCGGGGCGUACUGCAGUACGCAGCGCGUACUGCUUCCGAAAUCGUCACUGCAUGCGUCAUCCGAAAUGUCGACACUCUUCGGAGUACGCGGGGCGUACGUCGGAUCGGACCGGUGACUCGUCUUCGGAUAAUGCCGGAUUAAAAGAUUAAUUUUAAUUACAAAAUAUUUAAUAAACUUCAGAAAUUCAUAACUUUCGCAUACGAACUCCGUUUUCGACGUUCUUUAUAUCCACGCGAAGGUGAGACCACGCUCUACAACUUUCGUUUAGACUCCGUCGGCUAAUUUCGACUUUAUUUUUAUUAUUUAUUUUUAAUAGGCCGCGACAGAAAAACUUCGUUAUAAAUUCAUAACUUCUUCGUUUGACGUCCGUUCUCGCCUAACUUUUUAUCGCUUCGAUACCAACAACGAGACCUUCGAUCCUCGUUUAGAUUGCUAAGGCUAAAUACCGCUCUAACGUAAAUUCACUUUUUACGUUGCGCUGUGUCGUGCCGGUUCUGUCGCGAAACUUCGACAGGUCAUAACUUCUUCGUUAUAACUCGGAUUUUGGCGUUCUUUAUAUGCACGGAAACCUUGUAACAUAUACUACAACUUAGUUAGGAUUAUUCAUCCUAAAUAAUCUUCUAUCAAAAAGUCAUUUUUGACUCUUAUUGUCUCUAAAUUGACUAGCCCUGAUCUACGGGCGUUACAAUUAUCUCCCCCUUAGGAUGAUUACGUCCCGGAAUCAUCAACGAAAUAGGAUUCGCAUACUGACUCCAUAAGUUAUCUCUCCAUUCUAAGUAAUAACCCUGAUGGGUCGUGUCCCGAUGACCUCUCAUCAUAGUCGGACUCAAUUGAUAUGACCCCUAGGGUCGGAAUAACAACUAUCUUACUAGACAUUACCGAAACAAUGGUAAUGACAUACUUGAAUAAAACGGAAUCAAUUACUAGCUUCUUGAUAACCUUGUGACUUCCCCUGAUCCAAGCGUGAGUCCUGUGCUUCCGGUAGUAUAGAUCUCUACUACCAUUCACACCUACUCAUACUCGUCCCAAGUAUUGUCUCGCAGUUAACCAAGUCACCAUACAUAAAUCAUAUAAUCAUUCAACACAUCAGAUAACAAAACUAGGAUUUAUAUUAAUUCUUGAAACUAUUACACAAAAGUUCAAGUUCACCCUAUACUAUGCCUCUAACAGGCUAUGCUUCCUGAUACAGACUUUACCGACUUUAUAUAUUAAUAUGAAGUCUUCAUCCUUUAACCCUCCCAUCCCUUUCUGCUUCGUUGAGGAACAUGUUGAAUGCCCUUGGCUGUGGAGGUGUGUUUUUCUGUGGGCAGUCUUUAGAAAUAUGACCUUCUUCAUUACACCUAUAGCACAUCUUCUUGUUAGGUGCGCACUUGUUGGCAUAGUGCCCUGUCUUCCCACAUUUGUAGCAAGUCAUCUCCUCGCUACAUUUCCCGAAGUGUUUCUUCUUACACUUCUCACACCACUUAGCCUCAUCUCUUCCUCCAGUUUUCGAGAAUUUACUUUCUUUAUCGAUUAUUGAAGAUCCUUCACGCUUCCUUUUCUCUCCAACUUCAGCCCUUUCCAGACCCUUUUCUUUUAUUUGGGUCUCAACAUUUUUGGCUGCCCAGAUGGCGGCUUUCAGAGUGGUUGCUUGUUUGACUAUCGGACCAAAGUCCGCUGGUAAUCCAUUAGCAAACUUGUUGACCUUGGAAAGUUCAGUCGGAAUUAGGUAUGGAAUAAGCUUCAUCUUCUCCGUAAAGCUCGUAGCGUAUUCAGUAACGCUCAAUUUUCCUUUCUUCAGAUUCUGGAACUCAUUGUUGAUUUCCAGAAGAUCCUGCUCAGAGCAGUAUUGCAUUUUCAUUUGCUCCACGAACUCUUCCCAAGACAUCUUGCUAGCUUCCCCCUUGGGCAUUGAACCAGCCAGUAACUUCCACCAGCUCAAUACUCCAGAUUUUAACAGAGGGAUUGCAAGAGCGGUCUUCUGUCUGUUGCUACACUCGCAACUUUCAAACAUUGUCUCCAUUUCGGAGAUCCAGUCCAUGACUUGCACCGGUGUCGGGCUCCCAGAAAGACAUGGUGGUUUGGAUGCCAUGAAAUCCUUGUACUUGCAUCCACGUCCAUCAUUUCCUCUAUCCUGGUUGUUUUGGCGAACUAUUGGUGGGUUGGCUUGACCAACGGUCCCACUAUAGUUUCCUCCUUCAGAAUGCCCUCCAUUUACUUCGGGCUCUUCUACUCGAAUUGACAAUUCCUCGCGAUUUUGUCUGAUCAGACGUCUAGUUUCUUCCAUCUGAUUAUUCAACAUUGCCUGGAUCAUCACUUGAACUCCGGCCAUUGUCAUUGGUUCAGGCGCUGCUGCCACAACAGGUAUUUGUUCAAUUACUGGUACUUGAUUCCUGUUCUCAUCAGCAUUUCCAACUCCACUCCUCGUUCUCACCAUUUUUGAUCUAUACACCGAAUAUGGUGAAAUUAGAUCCUUAAUCACGAUAGAUAUUCAAAUCAUCCUUAUCACUCCGAAACGUUUAUAUGCUAGUUCUAAUAUCGUAGACGUACGCUUAGAAUCCUAUACACAUAAGGUUUCCAGAUCCGGUCGGCAACAGACCAUAGAUCCGAACAAAUAAUAGCAUCAAUAUAGCUAUCACACAAAACAUUUAGCACGCAAAAGCAUUUUAGGCAAUUUUCCUAAAAUAAAAUAGUGCCUGUGUCAAUUUAGGUGUACUACCUAAAAUAUAAUGGACACACUCAACUCGCAAUCAUUGCUUAGCAUUCUAAGUUUAAGUCUAGAAAUCCUACAAAUUCCUAGUUCGCUUAAACUAAUGCUCUGAUACCAACUGUGACAUCCCCAAUUUCACGGCCAGAAAAGACCGAUUUGUUUAUGCUUUGUUUUCAAAAUCAGAGUGAUCGUUUAAAGAAAACGGUUGCGGAAUUUGUUCCCAAAAUAAAAUAUGAUAACCAUUUUAUCAAAACAUUUCUCGAAAAGAAUGUAUUUUUAUUAAAUAAUAAAACCUCGGGAUGUCAUGUUCGUUACAGACCAAAAGCAUAAACAACAUAAAAUAGACCUUACAAUAGUUAUUCAACUACUGAUCUAUAAUCCAAAAUCUCUCGUCAAGUCCGCCGACUUAUACUCUUGUGUCAUUACCUGUAAUGAAAAGAAAACUGAGUGGGUCAGGCUUGGGAGCCUGGUGAGCAUAUAGGGUUUUCAACCCACAAUAAUACAUUUAUUAUAUUCAAUUAUCAAACAAUCAACUCAAAUACCCAUCUCCAUCAUCUUCUUAAGGUUUCCCCCUAAGAACCAACUAUCCUUCAUUCACUUAUUCCUAAGGAAUCGGCACGAAAUCCAUUGCUGCCAAAGUUUAUCUAUCGAGUACUAAAUCCAUAGUUAUAAGACGCUAACUCCAUAGUCGUCGGGGUUUACUCAAGCGGCGCUAACUCCAUAGUCACCAAGGUUCACUUAACAAGCGCUAACUCCAUAGUCGCCAAGGUUUACUUAACAAGCGCUAACUCCAUAGUCGCCAAGGUUCAUCAAAUAGGCACGAAGUCACAUCGUCGCCAAGGUUUAUGCAAUAGGCGCUAACUCCAUAGUCACCAAGGUUUAUACAAAAGGCGCUAACUCCAUAGUCACCAAGGUUUAUCUAACAACAGGCGCUAACUCCAUAGUCACCAAGGUUUAUCUAACAGCAGGCGCUAACUCCAUAGUCACCAAGGUUUAUCUAACAGCAGGCGCUAACUCCAUAGUCACCAACUAACCCAUCUACCCAUGUUCUACCCAACAAUAUUAGUAGAUAAAAAUAUACAUUUGUAUACAUAGUUUAAAGAAAACCUGUAUAGCAUGCUUUAAUCAACACAUAUAUCACAUAACAGAUGAGGCACACACACGUAACACAUAUCUCAUAAAGAAAUAAGCAGAUCUGUAAGAUAGAAGAGAGUGAAUACUCAUUCACACAUAACACAACCAAAUAUAUACACAUAGCACGUAUUUUUAUAUAAAAUACUUCGUAUUAUUGUAUUAGAAGAAAUAACUACACACUCACUUGAUCAGAAGACGAUCCGACAGCACUACGGCUUAUAGAAGUAGUAUUCCUCAGCAGAUCUGGAAGAUCUCCUCGAAAAUCGAACUUCUCGCGGGCAGAGCUUCGACUCGGGAACCGCACUUUUCGGGAUCUUCGGGAUCUCGGGACUUGCCUCGGGGCUAGGGUAUAAUACCGGGGCUUCGGGGUAUUUCUGGCACGCAAAACGAUGCAAAACGGGAGAGAGAAGAGAAGAAAUUGGCAAUUGGGUCGGCUGCCCUCGCAUCCUAUUUAUAGGAGGCUGGAGCCUCGGAGUACGCGGGGCGUACGCCAGUACGCGGGGCGUACUGGUCCGAAAAACGUCACUGCGUGCGUCAUCCGAAGCCACUUGCUGCGAAUGUCGACACUUCGGAGUACGCGGGGCGUACUCGAGUACGCAGCGCGUACCUCGGAUCAGACCGGUGACUCCUUCGGAUAAUGCUUCCGAAUUUCCUUUUAAAUUUAAAUACAAAUUGAUUAAUAAACUUCGGAAAUUCAUAUCUUCUUCAUACGAACUCCGUUUUCGACGUUCUUUAUAUCCACGCGAAGGUGAGACUACGCUCUACAACUUUCGUUUAGACUCCGUCGGCUAAUUUCGACUUUAUUUUUAUUAUUUAUUUUUAAUAGGCCGCGACAGAAAAACUUCGUUAUAAAUUCAUAACUUCUUCGGUUGACGUCCGUUCUCGCCUAACUUUUUAUCGCUUCGAUACCAACAAUGAGAUCUUCGAUUCUCAUUUAGAUUACUUCGGCUAAAAACCCCUCGAUCUCAAAUCGAGUAAAACAGGCUGCUCACCGCUAAGCCGAAACUUCGAUAAAUCAUAACUUCCUCAUACGAAGUCAGAUUUGGGCGUUCUAUAUAUAUUCGGAAACCUCGUUUCAACUACUUCAACAUUAUUCAAAGAUAUUAAGUUUAUUUUACACUUAAAUUUUGACGCUUAUUUUUAUUCUUAAUUAAUCAAACCACAUAAUUAAGCAAUUAAGCACAAAACACACAAUACUUAAAUAAUACAAUCUUAUUAUUUCAAAACGGGUUACAGAGGUUAACCUAGACUAUUACAUUGAUAAAAAUGGCAAGCCCGGAAACACAGGCGUUACAUGAUUUGAUCAGAUGAUAGUCAAUCAAUCCAAUUAAUAUUAGUCUUACUUCAACUUCAGAAGUAACCGUGUAUUCUUAGUUUGUAGUAGACUGUGAAAUAAUGUUUCGCUUGGACCUCAUUCAACCUAAACUUAUUCUCCAUUCGUUAUAAUCCAAUUAUAAUUCAUAAUUAUAUCUAUUUGUUUUGAAGUCGGCAUCCUGUGUAUCUCCUUACAUAUAGAUCUUCUUCUAGACUGGUUAUCUCAUGUGCAUUCUCUUAGUUCUUCUUAAGUACUCUU
rnacentral:lncRNA from 1 species